GUGAGGAAUUUUCCGCAAUGGGCGAAAUCCUGACGGAGCAAUGCCGCGUGAAGGAUGAAGGCCUAUGGGUUGUAAACUUCUUUUCUCAGAAAAGAAUUAUGACGGUAUCUGAGGAAUAAGCAUCGGCUAACUCUGUGCCAGCAGCCGCGGUAAGACAGAGGAUGCAAGCGUUAUCCGGAAUGAUUGGGCGUAAAGCGUCUGUAGGUUGUUUAAAAAGUAUUCUGUCAAAGAUUAGGGCUUAACCCUAGAUAGGCAGAAUAAACUUUUAAGCUAGAGUUUGGUAGAGGCAGAGGGAAUUCCCGGUGGAGCGGUGAAAUGCGUAGAUAUCGGGAGGAACACCAAAGGCGAAGGCACUCUGCUGGGCCAAUACUAACACUGAGAGACGAAAGCGAGGGGAGCAAAUGGGAUUAGAUACCCCAGUAGUCC
rnacentral:rRNA from 1 species